CAUUUGCUCUGCCUCUCUGCUCUCUGCCAUGUGAAGAUGCAGUGGCAAGUCUGAAGUCUUCAAUCUGCAAGAGGAUUCUCAUCAGAACCAGAUCAUGCCAGCACCCUGAUCUUGGACUUCCAGCCUCCAGAACUCCAAUUUAACUUUUCAUCACGUGAACGGACACCUUUAUGAAGACUCCCAAAUAAACUGUUUGCACUCAA